ensembl:lncRNA
ACCUUUUACUUACAGUUUCUGGUUUAUUGUAAAGAAUACAAAAGAACAACCUAGAUGAAGAGGUCCCCAGGGUGGGGGUAGGGGCUUGGGGAGCUCUCAUGCCCUCUCACGUCAACCACCCUCCCAGCACCUCCAUUUGUCCACAAACCCAGAAGCCCCCCACAAUCUUGUCAUUCAGCCAUUUUUAAUGGAGGUUUCAGCACUUAAGCAUGAUUCAUUAAAUCAUUGGCCAUUGAUGAGUAACUCAAUCUCUAGUCUCUCUCCCAGCCCCAGAGGGCAAUGGAGGUGGCUAGGUGUUGAAAGUUCCAACCCUCUAGUCCUACCUCGAUCUUUCUGGUGACCAGCUCCCAUCCUGAUGCUAUCUAAGGGCCUCCAGUCACCAACCAUCUCAUCAGCAUACAAAAGACGCUCUUUUGUCUGAAGACCCGUCUGGAGACCCCACCCUGGAGAUCCCAAGGGUUUAGGCGCUAUAUAUUCCAAGCCAAGAGCAAAGACCAGACAGAAAGUUUUUUGUUUUUGUUUUUUUAAUCACGAUAUUCUUUAGCAAGGCCCCUUCUCCCACCUUGUAGUUCAGUGGUUAAAGAGUCUGACUGCAAUGCAGGAGACUUGGGUUCGAUCCCUGGGUUGGGAAGAUCCCUUGGAGAAGGAAGUGGCAACCCACUCUGGUAUUCUUGACUGGAGAACCCCAUGGACAGAGGGGCCUGGCGGGCUACAGUCUAUGGGGUGGCAAGAGUCGGACACGACUGAGCGACUAAGCACGCGCAUGGGCAGGGUUGUAGGGUCAUUUCUCCCACCUGAGUGGUACUUGAGGUUUACUUGGGGUUAAGUGGGAGGAGCUGAGACAGAGAACAAUGAAAGGUCCUAGGGACCUCCAUCCCCACUGCCCCACCCUUGACCUUCCCUGUCCACAGUCCUCCUAGGUGAGGGCCCAGUGGAAAAACUGGCUGAGCCUGGCUUCUGUAGAAGGUAGAGUAGAGAAAAGAGAGCAGAGCAAUUAAGGACAAUGAGGAGCCCGGUCUUCAGCAAGAUUGCUCCGGGAGGCAGGGAACCCUAACCCAGGAGACUGGACAAAGAAAAACUGUCCAUAUGCAGCACAGCAGGGACCAACUCCUGCUCCCAAACUGGCUUGUCACCAAAUCAAGGAGCUCCCAACAUCUCCAGUCUAACGAUGCACUGCUUUUG